GAUGAAGAACGCAGUGAAAUGCGAUACUUGGUGUGAAUUGCAGAAUCCCGUGAACCAUCGAGUCUUUGAACGCAAGUUGCGCCUCAAGCCAUUAGGUUGAGGGCACGUCUGCCUGGGCGUCACAUAUCGUUGCCUGAUGCCAGUUUCCUCGUGAUGGGUGACUGUGCAGGGCGAAUGAUGGCCUCCCGUGAGCAUUGUUGCCUCAUGGUUGGUUGAAAAUUGAGUCCUUGGUAGGGAGCGCCGUGAUAGAUGGUGGUUGAGUGACGAACGAGACCCAAUCAUGUGAGACCCCUACCGAAUUUGGCCUUCAUGACCCACAUGCGUCUUUGGAACGCUCAUGACGAGACCUCAGGUCAGGCGGGGCUACCCGCUGAGUUUAAGCAUAUCAAUAAGCGGAGGA
rnacentral:misc_RNA from 1 species